rnacentral:lncRNA from 1 species
GCGGGGUCGGCCGGCCGCCUUCGCUGCUCCGCCGCGGCUCUCAGCGCCGCUCAGCGCGGCGGGCCCGCCCGGGCUCAGGUGCCCCCCGCUCUCCGGACCUUCUCGCCCGGCCCCGCGUCCCCUCCGCGGGCUUCCCCCGGCGGCCGGCCGGGCUCGGAGGCUCGCGGCCGGAGCGGAGCGGAGUGCGCACGCCGGGGUGGCAGGACUUCGGCAAGACCAACUUUCCGUGGUCCUGUCUGGUGUGAACCGUCAGCACAGAUGGCCUCCUGGAGCUUCCCCGAGUCGUUCGCUGGGGGAAGCGGGCGGUGAGCGGCCAGCCCGGGCGCUCCGCAGGCCGCGAGCUCCCGGCAGGGCUGGUGGCGGGGGUCCGCCUGGGGGAGGAAUCCCCGCCUGCUCCAUCGGACCCGGCCUGGCGCGGCUCGCGGCGCUCGGCGGGCUCCCUUCCAUUCUAGAAUCUUCCCGCUUGCUUCCCAGCCCGCGUUCUUCCGCCUGCCUUUAAUUGUAAUUUACAGGAUUAAGGAGUUUGGGGAAGUCGCAGAGCUGCAGCGGAAAGGCAGGGGUCUGAGACUACUUUUGAGAAGAGAAACAACGCAAAACGAUCGCUGGAGGGCCAGAGCCCUGGUCGAAGAAGCAGACACAGGUUCCCACGGCGUCUGACGCCUGCGGAGCAAGUCCAGAGCCAGCUGGACUCGCAGCCUCUGGCCCGGCGGCACCAACUCCUCACUGGGUCAUUUUGAGCGCGCUGUGCCCACCUUUUCUGUUGCGUGUGGACGUGGGGAGGAUCUUCUAAGUCCCUCCAACGAAGGCAAGUGUGAGACUCUGGCCCUUUAUUUGUAAGAAGCAAGCCUUCAGAUUGCAGAAGUGUCGCGCGGGUCGCCGUGCGUUGCGCGAGUGGGAAGAUGGAGGAGGCCGGCACGCUGCUUUCGUGGACGCAAGUGAACCGGGCGUGAAGGCAGGGUGCGAGCUCUGCCCUUGGCCCAGCCCUGCGUGGGCGCCGUCCCAGAUUCCGGGCGGUGCGGGGUGCAGAGAUCUGGAGAGACUUGCGGGCUCCCCAGCGCAGGCUGCUCUGGGAUUUCGUUGGAAGAUCCGGCAGAGCCUUGGAGGAGAGGGCCCGGGAGGCUGUGUGUGCAGCGGAAACUUGUACGAAUGCCCCCACAGCGGAAAUGGUGCGCACGAGUAAUUUCUGCGGUGCACCCUUUUAAAAAUUGACAAGUGAACAAGAUCAAUUUUUUAAGAAAGCAAAGGUAGAAAACAAAAGGCGUGCGACUUCUUGACUGGCUUGUUCCCGCCUUUCUUCCUUCUCUAUACUCAGAUCAGAAACUUUUCUUUAAUUGCUCUUAUUCAGUGCGACAACUUUUAAUAAAAGCAUUUGCAUUUUAAGCCUGAGUUGCAACCAUAGAUUUAUUGCGAAGUGACAACGUGUCUAUGGAAUAUUUUCGCAGAUGAGACAGGACAUGCGCUCUAGUCGUGCCCAGAUUAAAGCGACGCUGGGCCAUGUGCCUGUGUAGUGCAGACUCGGAGGGGCACACACAUACUCGUCACCACAUGACCACUGUCUAUUAAUAUUGUCAUACCUAAACACUCGCAAAAACAAAAGUUGCUUUUCUUCCCUGUAAUUAAAUCUAAUUUG